AGCGAACGCUGGCGGCAGGCCUAACACAUGCAAGUCGAACGGGCUUCUUCGGAAGUCAGUGGCAGACGGGUGAGUAACACGUGGGAACGUGCCCUUCGGUUCGGAAUAACUCAGGGAAACUUGAGCUAAUACCGGAUACGCCCUUUUGGGGAAAGGUUUACUGCCGAGGGAUCGGCCCGCGUCUGAUUAGCUUGUUGGUGGGGUAACGGCCUACCAAGGCGACGAUCAGUAGCUGGUCUGAGAGGAUGAUCAGCCACACUGGGACUGAGACACGGCCCAGACUCCUACGGGAGGCAGCAGUGGGGAAUAUUGGACAAUGGGCGCAAGCCUGAUCCAGCCAUGCCGCGUGAGUGAUGAAGGCCUUAGGGUUGUAAAGCUCUUUUGUCCGGGACGAUAAUGACGGUACCGGAAGAAUAAGCCCCGGCUAACUUCGUG
rnacentral:rRNA from 1 species